rnacentral:rRNA from 1 species
UUGUCCUGUGACUGCGUACCUUUUGUAUAAUGGGUCAGCGACUUAUAUUCAGUGGCAAGGUUAACCAUCUAGGGGAGCCGUAGGGAAACCGAGUCUUAACUGGGCGUUCAGUCUCUGGAUAUAGACCCGAAACCAGGUGAUCUAGCCAUGGGCAGGUUGAAGGUUGAGUAACAUCAACUGGAGGACCGAACCGACUAAUGUUGAAAAAUUAGCGGAUGACUUGUGGCUAGGGGUGAAAGGCCAAUCAAACCUGGAGAUAGCUGGUUCUCCCCGAAAGCUAUUUAGGUAGCGCCUCGGACGAAUACUACUGGGGGUAGAGCACUGUUAAGGCUAGGGGGUCAUCCCGACUUACCAACCCUUUGCAAACUCCGAAUACCAGUAAGUACUAUCCGGGAGACACACGGCGGGUGCUAACGUCCGUCGUGGAGAGGGAAACAACCCAGACCGCCAGCUAAGGUCCCAAAUUACUACUAAGUGGGAAACGAUGUGGGAAGGCUCAGACAGCCAGGAUGUUGGCUUAGAAGCAGCCAUCAUUUAAAGAAAGCGUAAUAGCUCACUGGUCG